GGCCGUGUACCCAAGUGGCUUAAGGGGACGGAUUGCAAAUCCGUUAUCCGCGGGUUCGAAUCCCGCCGCGGCCU
rnacentral:tRNA from 5 species